UGUCUGUUCAGUGCAGGGCAUUUAGAUAGAUGGAUGGAUAGAUAGAUAUGUAAUGCAGACAUUUCAGGUAGUGUGAUUGCCUGUGGAUAUGUGUGCGUGUGUGUGCACAUAGCAGGGAGUCUGCAUGUAUCUGCUCAGUGUGUGUACAAGGUUUAUGUAGUUAUUUUUGCAGGCUGUGUCUGUAGUGUCUGAAUGUUGAAGAAAUGUACGUUUUAGUGAGCCUGGGGAGUAUCAUAUAUGGGCAUGUGGGGCUCAGGCGUGAGCUUUUGUGUUUAUGUGUGCCCACCUUCUCCAUUCCACAGCAGAGUGAUGACGAUACCUUUAAACCGCACGUCUUAGGGGGCAUUUCUUUGAGGACUGAGGGGGAGGGAAGGUAGAGGGAGCCAUAUUUGGGACUCUAGCUAGUUUGUGGAAGUGUGGGGAGGUGGGUGAGGGGUGCAUGCUUUUCUCUAUGUGGGUGGGAGGGGUGCUGUGCACAGAUGCGAGUGUAUUCGUGCCCGGGAUGUCGGGGUCCUCCUUCUGCCUGCGCCAGCAUACAUCUGCCUGGCAGUCUGCCGCCUCGGCAGCAGGGGCGGGCCGAGCGCGGGAGAGAGGACCCGAGAGCUGAGCGGCUGGUUUGGCCCCGGUCGGCUGCCUCCCCACUGCCCGAGUCCCCACCCGGCACCGCACCGACACCCUGCGCCAGCCUCCGUCCCAGACAAGGGCCCCCAACACCAGCAUGGACUGCUGCACCCUUCUUCCAGACCAUCUCCUCUCUUCUGUUUGAGUACAUCCUGAGGAGCAGUGCAAAAUGGAGAGGCAAUGGGAAAACAGUCUCUGGCCUCUAGCCCUGGGUGGAGGGAGGCUGCGUCGCUGAGGG
rnacentral:lncRNA from 1 species